GGGGGCUGUAGCGGUUGAAGGCGCCGGUCUUGAAAACCGGUAAGGGGCUUGUCCUCUUCAUGGGUUCGAAUCCCAGCCCCA
rnacentral:tRNA from 1 species